rnacentral:rRNA from 1 species
UACGGAGGGUGCAAGCGUUAUCCGGAUUUACUGGGUUUAAAGGGCGCGUAGGUGGGUAAGUAAGUCAGUGGCGAAAUCUUCGAGCUUAACUCGGAAACUGCCAUUGAUACUAUUUAUCUUGAAUACUUUGGAGGUAAGCGGAAUAUGUCAUGUAGCGGUGAAAUGCUUAGAUAUGACAUAGAACACCAAUUGCGAAGGCAGCUUACUACACAGUUAUUGACACUGAGGCACGAAAGCGUGGGGAUCAAACAGG